rnacentral:rRNA from 1 species
GCGAGCGUUAUCCGGAUUUACUGGGCGUAAAGGGUGCGUAGGUGGUUAUAAAAGUUUGUGGUGUAAGUGCAGUGCUUAACGCUGUGAGGCUAUGAAAACUAUAUAACUAGAGUGAGACAGAGGCAAGUGGAAUUCCAUGUGUAGCGGUAAAAUGCGUAAAUAUAUGGAGGAACACCAGUGGCGAAGGCGGCUUGCUGGGUCUAUACUGACACUGAUGCACGAAAGCGUGGGGAGCAAACAGGAUUAGAUA